rnacentral:ncRNA from 1 species
CGAAAAGUAAUGAUAAGGACACGAGAUUAUUUUUACGGUUUGCAGAGAGGGAAGCCGAGGGCUGUGAGCUUCCUAACACGAGAAAUAAACUUACCACCUUUGAACUCCGGUAGUGAACGAGUAAUCUAGUAAUUAUUGGCGGUCUCAGCCGUUACCUGAACUUGAGCAAUUCAAAAUGAGUGGUAUAUUUGGAUUGGAACAAGGGUGGAACCACGAAAAACACAUUCGUCCCUUUA